UGGGGGAUAUUGCACAAUGGGCGCAAGCCUGAUGCAGCGACGCCGCGUGGGGGAUGAAGGCCUUCGGGUUGUAAACUUCUUUUGCUCUGAACAAGGCGCACUUUGGGGUGUGUUGAGUGUAGGGGUUGAUUAGCGCCGGCUAACUACGUGCCAGCAGCCGCGGUAAUACGUAGGGCGCGAGCGUUGUCCGGAAUUAUUGGGCGUAAAGGGCUUGUAGGUGGCUGGUUGCGUCUGUCGUGAAAGCUCAUGGCUUAACUGUGGGUUUGCGGUGGGUACGGGCUGGCUUGAGUGCAGUAGGGGAGGCUGGAAUUCCUGGUGUAGCGGUGGAAUUCGCAGAUAUCAGGAGGAAUACCGGUGGCGAAGGCGGGUCUCUGGGCUGUUACUGACACUGAGGAGCGAAAGCAUGGGGAGCGAACAGG
rnacentral:rRNA from 1 species